AAAGAUUUUAUUUUAAUUCUCAAAACCUAACAAAAAGCUCAUACAAUCUUAUACAUCUAUAUACAAACACUAAACCAAAAUAUACUAACUUUUAAAAAAAAACAUAAAAUAGAAAUAACAUUUUUUUAAUUAAAAUAAAAACAAAUUUCAAAACAAAACCUUGCAAAAAGAACCAUAAAUAUUUUUAAAAAUUAAAACUAUUAAAAUACAUGAUAACAAAUGUAACAAUUCCACCAGCAGCCCAGAAACCUGCAGAUGGAAAUUAGGGAGCAGCAGUGUGAGCAUGAAGAAACGCAGCCAGAAAGUGAUUCUUGUUUUUCCCCACCUCCCAUCACUGAGGCUGAAGUCGGCUGUGAUUACGUUUUACCAGAGCAAGCUGCAAUAUUUGCCCCAUUACCUGCCUGGAAGCUGCAGUGAGCAGCCCCAGGGGCUGGGAGCACUCCUUUGAACACAACAAAUGCCAACCAACAAACAAUUUACUGCACCCAUCGCUGGGGACAGCCAGGGACAGAGAUUUGCAGCCUCCUGGCUCGAAGCUGCUCCAGUCUCAGCUGCCACAGCAGGACCCUGCUGGUCCCUGUCCCCACAGCCCCACAGGAGACUGGGGUUGGCCAAAUCCGGGCUGCCCUGGGCUCAGCCCGCUUCGGCACCCACGGCAGCAAGAGAACCUGCAAAUUCUUCCUUGCCUGGCCAGUCACUCUGUGCUUGAAAAUACUCUUUAAAGUUUGGAUAUAAUGAAAAAAUAUUUUUCUAGCCAGAUGGGAAAAAACUGGGUGAGUUGAUUAUUUUUCUCCAGGUGUGUUGGUCCCCUGUGAGGCACAAUGUCAGAAUCUGAGGUAUUGAUGACUCUGAGAUUGUAGAAAGUCUCUGUCUUUCAGCCCCGCUGCCAAAGCAGAAGCCAUAAUUCGUCUGUGCUGUUUCAAGGUUGUUUAUUCUGUUUAUCUCUAACAUGUUCUGCUGCCCUGCCGCAGCUCUGUCCUGCAGGGCAGCGUGUGGGGCUCUGCCCUCAGUGGGAUGGUACAAACAUUAAAUACCACAAACUACCUGUGCUGGAUUUACAAUAACGUGCCAAUAUCUGUCACCUACGUUGGACAGUGUGUCCCCAGCCUGAACCAACAGAAAAAUGCCAACACCACAGUGAAACAUGGAGGGCAUGAAGAAGGAGAAAAAGGACAAGACACACCCAAUUUCCUCCAUCUUGUCCCCUCUGAACCCCUAAUCUAGAAUCCUAAAAUUUUACUUUUGCACCCGUGCCACACUUAAUUAUUACUUAUAUCAAACUCUCAGAGCUUGUAAUUCACCCUGUAAGAUUGAAAACUCUUUUCCAUGGACAGAGCUCACAGACAGUGUCUGUGGGGGCUCUGUCCAGGGGGGUUCCUGACCCCUGCCAGGGUCCCAGCCCUGCCAGGGCAGCCAGAGGGAAGUUCUGGACUCCCACAGCACAGGAGCUGAUGUCAGGGCUGGUGGCUCGUCCUGCUUGUCGCUGCCGUGUCGGGAGCAGGGAGGUCAGGAGAAGGGGCAGAGCAUCGGGGAACCAGCAGGGGAGUGAGGGAUGCUGACAAUGACGCCGGGCUCAGAGCAUCAAUUCCGGGCUUUGGCAGCGAGCUCCGGGACGAGGCUCGGCAGCGCUGCCAGCGAUUGCCAUCUAGAGGUUUUUGGGAAAGCGGUGCCCGCGACCCCGCCAGCACAGCCCAGGGGACACCGGGGGCUCCUCCGGGGCUGGAUGUCCGUGAUGCCCCAGGACACCCCCGGGACGGCUGUGUCGGGCCAGACCACGAAAGAAAAGCUGAUUGUGGCUGGGUUUGGUAGAAUAAUGGAAUGUUAAAGGUCGGAAGGGGAACUUAAAGAUCAUCUAGUCCUCUCUGCCCUGGGCAGGGACACCUUCCACUGUCCCAGGACACUCCAAGCCCUGUUCACCCUGGGCUUAGGAUCCAGGGGCAGCCACAGAUUCUCUGGACACCCUGUGCCAGGGCCUUACCACCCUCACGAGAUUAUUUUCUUCCUAAUUUCUAACCUAAUUUCUCCUCUUUUAAUUUUGACCCAUUCCCCCUUGUCCUGUCACUAGAGAACGAUGGACCCAAGAGGCUGUGAGGAGAAAGGAGCAGCUGGCAUGUGGGCACAGCCUGGGGCACCCACAGGGAUGUUCUGUGCCUGUUCCCAGGCCAUGGGCACCCAGUUGUGACCCCUGCCCAGGGAUGGGUGUGGGCUCUGCUUGGUGAGACAGUGAAGUGCAAAGCUACUCCAGAAAGGAUUCACUCACAAAGUUGCUGCCCCCAUGUCGGAAUCUGUGGGUAUUGGUGAUUCCGAGAUUGUAGAAAGUCUCUGUCUUUCUGCCCCGUUGCCAAAGAAGAAGCCAUAGUUCGUCUGUGCUGUUUUCAAGGUUGUUUAUUUUUGCUUAUCUAUAACAAGUUCUGCUGCCCUGCCGCAGCUCUGUCCUGCAGGGCAGCGUGUGGGGCUCUGCCCCUCAGUGGGAUGUUACAAACAUUAUAUACCAGAAAUUACGUGUACUAUAUUUACAAUAAUGUGCCAAUAUCUAUCAUCUACGUUGAACAGUGUGUCCCCAGCCUAAACCAAUAGAAAAAUGCCAACAUCACCAAGAACAUGGAGGUAAGGAAGAAGAAGGAGGAAGAAAAGGAUCAGGCCUACUUUCCUCCAUCUUAGAACUCCUGACCCCCCUGUACAAAGUAAAACCCCCCCUGUACAGGUGUUAAAACCCCCCUGUACAAUACUAAAAAAUUUUACCCUCUAAUUUGUGACUACUUUUACUAUACCAUCUAACUCUCUGUGACUGCUUGUUCCACCCUCAAAGUUGGUAAUUCAUUCCAUGGUUCAAACUCAAGAUCACAGCUGUUUUCUGCUGCUUGCCAGGGUCUAAAAUGCUUCUGACCAAGGCCUGGAACCUCUAAAAAUGUCUGAGGGACAUUUUGAGUUCCGACACCCCCAGACCCACAUCAUUUCAGUACUGCACUGCUUGUAAAGGGUUUUUUGUGGCACCGUGGCAAAACUCAUCUGUCCUCUCACAGCGUGUGCAGCCUCCAUCCUCAGGUUUUGAUGUGCUCAGCAAGAGACGGGUGCGGGGCGGGUUUGAGAUGAUUUUUUUUCUUAAAGUUAAUUACAUUUGAGGCUUCCCUGCUCCUUGGCACUGCCCAUCCCCGGCGCCAGGAGCCGCCCGCAGCAGCGCGGACACGGAUGGGGCUGCUCGGGUGAGAAUUGGGACAAUGCCUCUGGUUCAGCCGCUCUGUGAAGCACGAAAUGCUCAUUUUUUAAAAGCACGGAUGUCUGAGAGAGUCAGCAUCAGUUCCUUUAUGUUCCAUGCUGUGCCGAGCUGCAGGUGGAAAUGUUCCCAAAAGCCCAAAUCCUGCUGUUAAGCUUUUGUAUUUUGGUUGAACCUCUCGAGGAAAAAUGCUGCUUUCCAAAAUCCCGUUCUUCCCUUCCUUCAUGUUAAAAAAAAGAGGUGAGAAAGGUGCAUUUGGCACACGCCCCUGGCACAGCAGCCACUGCACCGCGGCUGGGGGGUCUCAGGGUGACCUGUCCUGGCUCAGAGGGAUCUCCCUGAAGGGCUGGACCCUGGAAAAUGUGCUUUUCUUGCCGAUUUUUCAGCCUGAGGGCUGGGUGGUGCCCAUUGACACACCUGCCCUGCCGAGGAGGGCCACGAGCAGCAUUUUGUGUGGUUGCAAUGAGGGGUACAGGGAGCAUCGCUGUGUUGCUGAUGCCUCAUGGCCCCGGCACCCCAAGCCCCUGGUUUAUAAUUAUAACGAAUAAAUACAUGUGUUAGCAUCAAAACCUUUCCCUACACAUGUGGUGCAUGGUGGAUUCAAGCCUGGUUUGCUCAGCCACUCCAUAAAGAGCUUUGCUUUCCCAUCCAGCCAUGGGGUAUCUUUUUUUUUGAAGACUCAGCAGCGGCAUUUGAGAGUUAAACCACCACCCAUGAGUGGAGCUGGCACGGCUGCUUAUCCUCACUCCUCCUGAUGCUUGAAAUGAAACAGAAAUCUAGGUUUCAUUACACAACAGGCUGUGGGAAGGGUUAAAUUUGGAUUUUUGUGAUGUGGGGUGUCACUCAGCAGCUUUGGUUUGGCUGUGAGAGGGGGAGAGCAGACCCUGCCCACCGUGUCUGUACAGGCAAAGCCAUUUCACUCUGCAGGUCAAACCGAGUUUGAUUUGCAGCACGUGGCUGUGCCAGCUGGGCACCUCCAGCUCCUGUUGUUUAUUUACUCAGCUUUAACCUCCAUUGUCUCCUCACGAGUUGCCACUAAUGCAAUUACUUUAAUUUAAAUUGAUAUUAGGAAGAAAUUCCCCCCUGUAAGGGUGGGCAGGCCCUGGCACAGGGUGCCCAGAGCAGCUGUGGCUGCCCCUGGAUCCCUGAAGUGGCAGGGGAGUUUGGAACGAGGUUCCUUCUAACCCAAACCAUUCUGUGAUUUCAUUAUUUGGGGACCAGUGGAAGUUUCUGGUUCUCCUUCCAAGGACUUCAUCUGGCAGUGAAAGAUUUCCAUUCAGAAAUUGUUUAGGGAGUGCAGGAUUAUGGUUUGUCCAGACUUUGGGGUUUUAAGUGCUGAAGAGUUCCAGGAGUGUCACCUCUUCACAGCAGGGACAGCAAUUUCUGCCC
ensembl:lncRNA